UACGUAGGCAGCGAGCGUUGUUCGGAAUUACUGGGCGUAAAGAGUGUGUAGGCGGUGCUCUAAGUUCGGUGUGAAAUCUCCCGGCUUAACUGGGAGGGUGCGCCGGAAACUGGAGUGCUCGAGCGUGGGAGAGGAAAGCGGAAUUCCUGGUGUAGCGGUGAAAUGCGUAGAUAUCGGAAGGAACAUCAGUGGCGAAAGCGACUUCCUGGACCAAUACUGACGCUCAUGUGCGAAAGCGUGGGGAGCAAACAGG
rnacentral:rRNA from 1 species